rnacentral:rRNA from 1 species
UACGGAGGGUGCAAGCGUUAUCCGGAUUUAUUGGGUUUAAAGGGUCCGUAGGUGGACCAUUAAGUCAGAAGUGAAAUCCCGCGGCUCAACCGCGGAACUGCUUUUGAUACUGGUGGUCUUGAGUGUGCUCGAAGUUGGCGGAAUAUGACAUGUAGCGGUGAAAUGCUUAGAUAUGUCAUAGAACACCGAUUGCGAAGGCAGCCAACUAGGUCACAACUGACACUGAGGGACGAAAGCGU